rnacentral:rRNA from 1 species
AAUAGGCACCGGCUAACUCUGUGCCAGCAGCCGCGGUAAUACAGAGGGUGCGAGCGUUAAUCGGAUUUACUGGGCGUAAAGCGUGCGUAGGCGGCUUUUUAAGUCGGAUGUGAAAUCCCUGAGCUUAACUUAGGAAUUGCAUUCGAUACUGGGAAGCUAGAGUAUGGGAGAGGAUGGUAGAAUUCCAGGUGUAGCGGUGAAAUGCGUAGAGAUCUGGAGGAAUACCGAUGGCGAAGGCAGCCAUCUGGCCUAAUACUGACGCUGAGGUACGAAAGCAUGGGGAGCAAACAGGAUUAGAUACCCUGGUAGUCCAUGCCGUAAACGAUGUCUACUAGCCGUUGGGGCCUUUGAGGCUUUAGUGGCGCAGCUAACGCGAUAAGUAGACCGCCUGGGGAGUACGGUCGCAAGACUAAAAC